UCAUAGUGAUUGAAUAAAAUAACAUCGUUUCUCUGCCAGUUCCCUUUUAUUUUGCAUCUUUUAUUUUAAUCUUGUUUUUGGUUAUUUUGUGAUCUUUAUUUAUACUUCAUAUUGGGUUCAUCAAAUCUCAAUUCUUGCGUUAUCUUCAUCGGUCCCAACAAGACUUAAUCUCUAACUAUUAAACAGAGCAUUAGUUUUUGCCGGGGAAUACCUUUUGUGGCACUCAGAAUCACUUCAGAUGGUAAUAAGAGACAAUCUCUUCUUUUAAUCUCUUUGGCGUUCUAUGUACUGUGUGUAUUAUUGAAAUGAAACAUCAAAUAAUUUCUAUUGUAUCUUACCCUUGUUUUGAAAUUAGAGGUUUGUUCUAUUUCAUUAA